rnacentral:rRNA from 1 species
GCUACUGCUAUUGGGGUUCGGCUAAGCCAUGCGAGUGGAGGGCGUCCCGCAAGGGAUGGCCCCGCAGACGGCUCAGUAACACGUCGUCAACCCACCUUAGGGUGGGGGACAACCUCGGGAAACUGAGGAUAAUCCCCCAUAGGCGGGGGAGGCUAGAAUGCGCCCCCGCUGAAAGCUCAGGCGCCCUAGGACGGGACGGCGGCCCAUCAGGUAGUUGGUGGUGUGACG